GGUUGGUGGAGGCUCGCGGGGCGCGCUCCCGAGCGCCCUCGCGACCGGAAGUGCGCGCCCGGAGGUAGGCGGGAAGGAGGCGGCGGGCUUAAAGACCCGCUCUGGUGGCCCGCAGUGGGGCGUGACCUUGUUUCCUCCGGGGCGUGGCGGUGGUCUUACUACUACGUUCGGCUUAGCGCGGCAGAAAGAAGAAAUGUUAUCAUGACAAUGGAGCAGCAAGUCCCACCGCCCCAGCUAAAAGGCAGUAUGGCUGUGGCUGCUCAGGUGGAGAGUCCUCAAAGACAGAGUUUCGCUCUUGUUACCCAGGCUGGAGUACAAUGGCGUGACCUCGGCUCACCGCAACCUCCGCCUCCUGGGUUCAGGCAAUUCUCCUGCCUCAGCCUCCUAAGUAGCUGGGAUUACAG